GAUGAAGAACGUAGCGAAAUGCGAUAAGUAAUGUGAAUUGCAGAAUUCAGUGAAUCAUCGAAUCUUUGAACGCACCUUGCGCCCUUUGGCUAUUCCAGAGGGCAUGCCUGUUUGAGUAUCAUGAACACCUCAACUCUCAUGGUUCUGCCAUGAUGAGCUUGGACUUUGGAGGUCUUGCUGGCCCCUGUGGUCAGCUCCUCUCAAAUGGAUCAGCUUGCCAGUGUUUGGUGGCAUCACAGGUGUGAUAACUAUCUACGCUUGUGGUUUUCCACCAGGUAACCUUCAGUGAUGGAGGUUCGCUGGGGCUCAUAAAUGUCCCUCCACAGUGAGGACAGCUUUUGAACGUUUGAUCUCAAAUCAGGUAGGACUACCCGCUGAACUUAAGCAUAUCAAUAAGCGGAGGA
rnacentral:misc_RNA from 1 species